rnacentral:rRNA from 1 species
ACGCUGGCGGCAGGCCUAACACAUGCAAGUCGAGCGGAAACGAGUUAUCUGAACCUUCGGGGAACGAUAACGGCGUCGAGCGGCGGACGGGUGAGUAAUGCCUAGGAAAUUGCCCUGAUGUGGGGGAUAACCAUUGGAAACGAUGGCUAAUACCGCAUGAUGCCUACGGGCCAAAGAGGGGGACCUUCGGGCCUCUCGCGUCAGGAUAUGCCUAGGUGGGAUUAGCUAGUUGGUGAGGUAAGGGCUCACCAAGGCGACGAUCCCUAGCUGGUCUGAGAGGAUGAUCAGCCACACUGGAACUGAGACACGGUCCAGACUCCUACGGGAGGCAGCAGUGGGGAAUAUUGCACAAUGGGCGCAAGCCUGAUGCAGCCAUGCCGCGUGUAUGAAGAAGGCCUUCGGGUUGUAAAGUACUUUCAGUCGUGAGGAAGGUGGUGUAGUUAAUAGCUGCAUCGUUUGACGUUAGCGACAGAAGAAGCACCGGCUAACUCCGUGCCAGCAGCCGCGGUAAUACGGAGGGUGCGAGCGUUAAUCGGAAUUACUGGGCGUAAAGCGCAUGCAGGUGGUUUGUUAAGUCAGAUGUGAAAGCCCGGGGCUCAACCUCGGAAUAGCAUUUGAAACUGGCAGACUAGAGUACUGUAGAGGGGGGUAGAAUUUCAGGUGUAGCGGUGAAAUGCGUAGAGAUCUGAAGGAAUACCGGUGGCGAAGGCGGCCCCCUGGACAGAUACUGACACUCAGAUGCGAAAGCGUGGGGAGCAAACAGGAUUAGAUACCCUGGUAGUCCACGCCGUAAACGAUGUCUACUUGGAGGUUGUGGCCUUGAGCCGUGGCUUUCGGAGCUAACGCGUUAAGUAGACCGCCUGGGGAGUACGGUCGCAAGAUUAAAACUCAAAUGAAUUGACGGGGGCCCGCACAAGCGGUGGAGCAUGUGGUUUAAUUCGAUGCAACGCGAAGAACCUUACCUACUCUUGACAUCCAGAGAACUUUCCAGAGAUGGAUUGGUGCCUUCGGGAACUCUGAGACAGGUGCUGCAUGGCUGUCGUCAGCUCGUGUUGUGAAAUGUUG